GGAAAGUUUCCAGUACGGACGAAGCACCCCAGUCAUGUGAUCGGUAAGCUGAACCAGGAAGUGAAGGAAACCAGCAAGAGAGGAGCCAGCCGCUGGGCGUGCGGCAAAGACAGGCAGAGGCGGACGCCGGGACAUGGCCCAGGAAGAAAGAUGGACCAAACCAAAAUAUAACAUGACUGAGAUCAGGAUGCCUCAGACCAUCUUCAGGCGUACUUUCUGAAGGAGGGCCAUCUUUAGGAGACUCAAUAGCAGCAGGACCAACAUCAGUAGGACCAACAUCAGUAGGACCAACAGCAGCAGGACCAUCUGCAGCAGGACCAACAGCAGCAGGACCAUCCUCAGGAGUACCAAUAACAGCAAGACCAACAUAAGGAGGAUCAACAAAUGGACUAAAGGCACCGUCUUCCAACCUACAGGAGAUGCACCUUUGAAGAAGGAGGAGCAGUAGAGUCCUGUGCCAUCUGCAUCUCACAGUUUGAGAUUGGAAAUGAAGUAACUUGUCAUCUUGCCAGCAUGCUUUCCACAUACCAUGCUUGACACAAAAGCUUGACAUUAAUACCAUCUGCCCCCUGUGUCGCGCACAAUGCUUUGAUGUGAGCAAAGUUUCCCAGCAUCAUCUCUAGAGGGAAUCAAAGAGAUAAGUACCACCAAACAUCCAGAGAAGAAAACCAAGUAAGUAUGGUGAUAGCAUGAUUGGGACUUUAAUUUGAUUGUUGUAACUAUUGUGUUAUAGUUAUUAGUUUUAUGGCUCUGUCAUUGUUUUCUUGUUUGCCUUGUUUCCCCUUGUCUACCCUACUUGGGAACUAGUUAAUCGCCGCUGUUGGCAGCGGAAGUCUUCAGGGAUUUUGCCUUUUCCGUGAACUGAUGGACUGAAUUUGUCAAAUUGAAAUUCGGCUAAUUGGCAAUAAUAAUAAUAAUAAUAAUAAUAAUUUCUCAGUCCCUCAGCAGGUUUUUGGUUUCACCUCUCGCCGAGUUUUACUUGCGUUAUUCUUGCUCUCCCCCAGCCCCCUUCCAUCUCUCCCCCCUACUUUUUUUCUCUGCCCAACUCAUUCCUGGUUGACCCUCAUAUGUGUUUAUGUUGCUUCUAAUUGGCACUAAAGCUUAUCUUGAUUCAGCUUUUUGGCAUUCAAUUAAACAAAAUAUAUAUUUUUGGCAGCUCCUCCAUUUCAUUAAGUAUUAAUUUCAUAUCAAUAUAAUUAUUAUUUCUUUCUCUACCUCCUUAUAGAUGUUACAUUUGAUUCCCUUAAAGUGUGUAUUGUCGGCCACUCAUAUGUUUUUUUUUGGCUGCUAAGUUCAUGGCUUCCAAUGGUGCUCGUUCCAUUGGUCCUCUGGUCAGAUUGUGUUUGGUGGAUUUGUAUAAGAGAUAUAAUGUUGUGGACUUUGCAAUAUAAGCUUUUGAAUGUUGCCAAGCAUUAUAUUCUCAAGGUCUUGCUUAUUCAUAUAGGUAGUAAUGAUCUUGGAAAGAUGACUGGUUUGGAUUGUGGAGCUCCAUGGUGAAUGAUUUUGCUAGUAUUUCAUUAGCUUGGCCCUCUUAUAAAAUCAUUUGGUCAUUUAUUGUGUCUAGACUUGUCUGGUGUAAUGUGCAUGAUUACAAUGCAAUUGGCGAAGCCAGGAAUAAGGUGAAUACAGUGGUCACAAAAUUUGUAUUGGCCAAAGGUGGUAGUGUGGUUAGGCAGUCCAGGAUUAAUUUUUGUUAUUUUUAUCUGUAUAAUUCUGAUGAGGUUAUAAAACAGAGGAGGGGCGUUUGCUUUUUGUUGUUGUUGAACGUCAGGUCGCCUCUUUGGGUGUAAAUUUCCGUGCGUUGUUUAGUUAUUAUAGUUUUUUGGCGCGCUCACCUUCCUUGACUUGUUAGUUUGCUAGACCACUCUAUGUAUUUGUGAUACCCGCGUUUGGGGUAUCCCUUCUGCUAGUUAAACCAGUUGCAGAUGCACUGUGAGGAUUAAAAUCCUUUUUACACUGGUUGCAAAGCAACUAUGGCAACCAGGAGAGGAAUAUGUAUAGCACUAGGACCCUGGGCUUUCCAUCAGGAUCCCUGCAGAGCGGGAAGCUGGGAGCGCUCUGAUUGGCCGUGUUGUGUGGGGAGAGAAGCAGGGAGGAGAACUGCAGCGAGCAGAGAGAGAGAGCAGCAUGGCAGUGGAAUAGGAGGCAGUGUGUCAUGUGUGGGUGUGAAGAGCUGUACGCGGAGGUCUGGAGGCGCGCUGCGCUGGGAGAGUCUGGGCAUCGAGAGACGGCUGUCAUCCUGAAAAGCAGCAGUGAGAAGUGACCGGCAGGAGCUGGCAACAGCAGCAGAUAAUGCAGGUACUCUACUUCACCCCAGACAGCCCCCACAUAUGGGCACCCAGACCAACAGUGAUCACCCUGACAGCUUGCAACAUCACAGCCCCUUGGGACAGAUCACAGCAGGACUCUAUGUACAAGGAGAGGGACACGUGUGAUUUAUUUGGAGCUGCCUGCCAUUGUACCAGAGAGAGCCUUAAGGGAUAGGGUUGUGUGAAACCCUCUGCUUCCCCUUACCACUGCAAUUGCAAGGAAAACACGAAGUGACACUUAUCCCUAGACUGUUUGAGCUGCAGCACAAUGUGUGUGCCAGAAUUGGGUCAUUUGCUCUGUGACCCACUGUAUGUGAAAUGACUUACUCCACAGCGCCCUCUAUUUGAAGCAUUGCUAGACUGUGAAAUGACUUACUCCACAGCGCCCUCUAUUUGAAGCAUUGCUAGACUGUGAAAUGACUUACUCCACAGCGCCCUCUAUUUGAAGCAUUGCUAUACUGGGAUAUGACUUACUCCACAGCGCCCUCUAUUGGAAACUGGUGCUAUACAUGGCAAGUAGCUGCUCCACGGCACCACCCGUUGGAUUACAAAUACUGUGCACAGUGCGAACUCAUUCUACAGCACCCCCUGUAGGACAGUGAUAUAGCUGGAACAUUUUGUCAGCAGCAUAAACUGAACAUAUCCAAUCUAGCGCCAUCUAGUGACCCGUCAGUAUAACGCAUGCAUACUCAUGAAACAGCUGUAUAAGACGUCUGAGUGUUGAAAUUCUGAAAUGCUCUUGUGUUAAUGUUAUGUUAUAUUUUUAGUAUGUGACUAAAAGUAUCGUGGCUUAUUGAAUUGCACUGAACUUUACUAAGAGGUGAAUUUAGUCACAUGGACCAGUGACUAACCCUGCCUAUAAUAAAUCUUUGUUACUGUA